rnacentral:tRNA from 1 species
GUUUAUAUAAUUUAAAAAGAAUAUUACACUGAAGAUGUAAAAGUGACAGAUUACGUCUGUGAACA